GAUGAACGCUGGCGGCGUGCCUAAUACAUGCAAGUCGAACGGGGAGUCGCAAUACUCUUAGUGGCGAGCGGGUGAGUAACGCGUUGGUACCUGCCCCGAAGCGGGGGAUAACGGACCGAAAGGUCCGCUAAUACCCCAUGUGCUCGGUAACGAGUAAAGGUGAAAACCACUUUGGGAGGGGCAUGCGUCCCAUCAGCUAGUUGGUAAGGUAACGGCUUACCAAGGCGAUGACGGGUAGGGGACCUGAGAGGGUGGCCCCCCACAAUGGAACUGAAACACGGUCCAGACACCUACGGGUGGCAGCAGUAGGGAAUAUUGGUAAUGGGCGCAAGCCUGAACCAGCAACGCCGCGUGUGCGAUGACGGCCUUCGGGUUGUAAAGCACUUUUGACGGGGACGAGGAAGGACGGUACCGGUCGAAUCAGCCUCGGCUAACUACGUG
rnacentral:rRNA from 1 species